AGGGAGUUUGAUCCUGGCUCAGGACGAACGCUGGCGGCGUGCCUAACACGUGCAAGUCGAACGGAACUACUAGGAAGGAUCUCUUCGGAGAAACGGAAUUUUAGUUUAGUGGCGGACGGGUGAGUAACGCGUGAGUAACCUGCCUUUGAGAGGGGAAUAACGUUCUGAAAAGAACGCUAAUACCGCAUAACAUAUAUUGAUCGCAUGGUCGGUAUAUCAAAGAUUUAUCGCUCAAAGAUGGACUCGCGUCCGAUUAGCUUGUUGGCGGGGUAACGGCCCACCAAGGCGACGAUCGGUAGCCGGACUGAGAGGUUGAACGGCCACAUUGGGACUGAGACACGGCCCAGACUCCUACGGGAGGCAGCAGUGGGGGAUAUUGCGCAAUGGGGGCAACCCUGACGCAGCAACGCCGCGUGAAGGAUGAAGGUUUUCGGAUUGUAAACUUCUUUUGUCAGGGACGAAAUCUGACGGUACCUGACGAAUAAGCUCCGGCUAACUACGUGCCAGCAGCCGCGGUAAUACGUAGGGAGCAAGCGUUGUCCGGAUUUACUGGGUGUAAAGGGUGCGUAGGCGGCUAAGCAAGUCAGAUGUGAAAUCUAUGGGCUCAACCCAUAAACUGCAUUUGAAACUGCAUAGCUUGAGUGAAGUAGAGGCAGGCGGAAUUCCCCGUGUAGCGGUGAAAUGCGUAGAGAUGGGGAGGAACACCAGUGGCGAAGGCGGCCUGCUGGGCUUUAACUGACGCUGAGGCACGAAAGCGUGGGUAGCAAACAGGAUUAGAUACCCUGGUAGUCCCCU
rnacentral:rRNA from 1 species